rnacentral:tRNA from 1 species
CAGUAAGUAGUUUAAAUUAAAAUUUUAAUUUUGGGGAUUAAAGAUGAGUGAAUACUUUUUACUGA